CCUACGGGGGGCAGCAGUGAGGAAUAUUGGUCAAUGGGCUUACGCCUGAACCAGCCAAGUCGCGUGAGGGAAGACUGCCCUAUGGGUUGUAAACCUCUUUUGUCGGGGAGCAAAAGCCGGACGUGUCCGGCUGUGAGAGUACCCGAAGAAAAAGCAUCGGCUAACUCCGUGCCAGCAGCCGCGGUAAUACGGAGGAUGCGAGCGUUAUCCGGAUUUAUUGGGUUUAAAGGGUGCGUAGGCGGGCUUUUAAGUCAGCGGUAAAAAUUCGGGGCUCAACCCCGUCCGGCCGUUGAAACUGGGGGCCU
rnacentral:rRNA from 1 species